UGUAGCUCAGUGGUAGAGCGCUCGCCUAGCAUGUGUGGGGCCUGGGUUCAAUCCCCAGCA
rnacentral:tRNA from 1 species